UCAAAGAUUAAGCCAUGCAUGUCUCAGUAUAAGCAACUUGUACGUGUGAAACUGCGAAUGGCUCAUUAAACCAGUUAUAAUUUAUUUGAUAGUGAAUUUACUAGAUGGAUAGCCGUAGUAAUUCUAGAGCUAAUACAUGCACAUAAGACCCGACUCGCGAGGGAAGGGUUGUGUUUAUUAGAUUGAAAACCAAUGUGGGUGUAGGGGGGAGAGGAGAAAUCCCCUUCCCCCUACACCACGUUAAAAGGGUGAGUCAUGAUAAAUGUCGAAUCGAAGUUUACCCUUCGAUGUGUCAUUCAAAUUUCUGCCCUAUCAACUUUGUUGGUAGGAUAGAGGCCUACCAUGGUAUUGACGGGUAACGGAGGAUUAGGGUUCGAUUCCGGAGAGGGAGCCUGAGAAAUGGCUACUACUUCUAAGGAAGGCAGCAGGCGCGCAAAUUACCCAAUCCCAACUGUGUUGGGGAGGUAGUGACAAAAAAUACGAAUGCCAGGUCGUUUAACGGCUCGGUAAUUGGAAUGGUAUGGAAGUAAACUGUCCAUAGAGCAGCCAUUAGAGGGCAAGUCUGGUGCCAGCAGCCGCGGUAAUUCCAGCUCUAAUAGUGUAUACUAAAUUUGCUGCAGUUAAAAAGCUCGUAGUUGGAUUUAGGGUGGGGCAGUAUACGUCCGUGCGCUUGCAGUAAUAAGCGACUUGUCUGUUCUCUGUUACUUAAAGGGGGCAGCUUGGUUGACAUGCUGGUUGAGUGUAUGGAGGUUGCUCCGCCCGACGAAAUAAAGACGAGUAACUCUGCAUGGCCCUUAACUGUGGCUUGUGCGGUUGUUCUCGGAGGGUUUACUUUGAAGAAAUUGUAGUGUUCAAAGCAGGCGUUUCGCAGCUGAACACAUUAGCAUGGAAUAAUAAAAUAGGACAUCCGAGUCCCUGACCUCUUUUUUUUUGUUUGUGGGUUAGGAAGAGUGUGGUUGUUGAAGGUUUUUAGGAGAAGUCUUUCUCUUAUCCUUCUCAGCCUCCACUCUCUUUCUCUUUCUCACGCAAAAAAAAAAUUUCAUGGGGGAAGGGACUAUUCUUAAGAAUAUCCUUGUUUUGUUGGUUUUUGGAGAGGGUGUAAUGAUUAAUAGGGACGGUUGGGGGCAUCCGUAUUGCAUAGUCAGAGGUGAAAUUCUUGGAUUUAUGCAAGACGAACUAGUGCGAAAGCAUUUGCCAAGGAUGUUUUCAUUAAUCAAGAACGAAAGUUAGGGGAUCGAAGGCGAUCAGAAACCGCCGUAGUCUUAACUAUAAACUAUACCAACUAGGGAUUGGAGAGAGUUUAAAAUACAGCCUCGUCAGCACCUUUAGAGAAAUCACAAGUCUCUGGGUUCUGGGGGGAGUAUGGUCGCAAGGCUGAAACUUAAAGAAAUUGACGGAAGGGCACCACCAGGUGUGGAGCCUGCGGCUUAAUUCGACUCAACACGGGGAAACUCACCAGGUCCAGACACGGGAAGGAUUGACAGAUUGAUAGCUCUUUCUUGAUUCUGUGGGUGGUGGUGCAUGGUCGUUCUUAGUUGGUGGAGUGAUUUGUCUGGUUAAUUCCGAUAACGAACGAGACCUUAACCUGCUAACUAGCUCGGCGUCGCUUUUUUGAAAAAGAGGAGCGAUGUGUAAAUUAUGAAGAGGGGGAAGGGAAAAGUUCUGCUUUUUUCUUUGUUUUUUUCAUAAAGUGGGGAGCUUCUUAGAGGGACUACCAUGGUUGCACAUGGUGGAAGCUUGAGGCAAUAACAGGUCUGUGAUGCCCUUAGAUGUCCUGGGCCGCACGCGCGCUACAAUGAUGCGUUCAGCGAGUCUGUGCUUGCUCGAAAGAGCUGGCUAAUCUUGCGAGCGCGCAUCGUGCCUGGGGAUUGAUCUUUGUAAUUUUGGAUCAUGAACUAGGAAUACCUAGUAAGCGCAACUCAUCAGGUUGCGCUGAUUACGUCCCUGCCCUUUGUACACACCGCCCGUCGCUCCUACCGAUUGGAUGAUCAGAUGAAAUGCCCGGAUGCGCGGCGCACUGCGUUUUAGUGGUGUGCCGUGGAGAAGAGUAGUGAAUCUUAUUAUCUAGA
rnacentral:rRNA from 1 species